CUACGGGUCGCUGCAGUGGGGAAUAUUGCACAAUGGGCGCAAGCCUGAUGCAGCCAUGCCGCGUGUAUGAAGAAGGCCUUCGGGUUGUAAAGUACUUUCAGCGGGGAGGAAGGGAGUAAAGUUAAUACCUUUGCUCAUUGACGUUACCCGCAGAAGAAGCACCGGCUAACUCCGUGCCAGCAGCCGCGGUAAUACGGAGGGUGCAAGCGUUAAUCGGAAUUACUGGGCGGAAAGCGCACGCAGGCGGUUUGUUAAGUCAGAUGUGACAUCCCCGGGCUCAACCUGGGAACUGCAUCUGAUACUGGCAAGCUUGAGUCUCGUAGAGGGGGGUAGAAUUCCAGGUGUAGCGGUGAAAUGCGUAGAGAUCUGGAGGAAUACCGGUGGCGAAGGCGGCCCCCUGGACGAAGACUGACGCUCAGGUGCGAAAGCGUGGGGAGCAAACAGGAUUAGAUACCCCGGUAGUC
rnacentral:rRNA from 1 species